rnacentral:rRNA from 1 species
AGCAGCCGCGGUAAUUCCAGCUCCAAUAGCGUAUAUUAAAGUUGUUGCAGUUAAAAAGCUCGUAGUUGAAUUUUGGGUCUGGCCGGGCGGUCCGCCCUCCGGGUGAGCACUGUUCCGACGCCGGGCCUAUCCUUCUGGUGAGUCGGCAUGUCCUUUGUUGGGUGUGUCGGGGAACCAGGACCAUUACCUUGAAAAAUUAGAGUGUUCAAAGCAGGCGUAUGCUCGGAUACAUUAGCAUGGAAUAAUGAAAUAGGACGCGUGGUGCUAUUUUGUUGGUUUCUAGAACCGCCGUAAUGAUUAAUAGGGAUAGUUGGGGGCAUUAGUAUUCAAUUGUCAGAGGUGAAAUUCUUGGAUUUAUUGAAGACUAACUUCUGCGAAAGCAUUUGCCAAGGAUGUUUUCAUUAAUCAAGAACGAAAGUUAGGGGAUCGAAGACGAUCAGAUACCGUCGU